CCUUCUCAAACCCAGCAUCAGAUACAAAUAUCUCCCAUCUGUCUCCCUGUGAACUCAGAGCUCUCUGCCUCCAGCUCUGCCAGGGUCACAAUGCUCUCCCAGUCCUUGCUCCUCUGGAUCCUACUGCUCUGGCCUCAAGAAUCCCAGGCAGCCAUUGAGCUGACCCAGUCCCCAGCCUCCCUGUCUGUGGCUCCAGGAGACCAAGUCACCAUCAGCUGCAAGGCCAGUUCCAGCGUUAGCAAGUACAUGGCCUGGUUCCAGCAGAAACCAGGACAGUCUCCUAAGCUCCUGAUCUAUUCUGCUUCCACCCUGCAGUCUGGGGUCCCUGACCGGUUCAGUGGCAGUGGCUCUGGGACAGAUUUCACCCUCACCAUCAGUGCAGUGGAGGCUGAGGACGUGGCAGAUUAUUACUGUGCUCAUUAUAAUUCCCAAGCAGCCAUAGAGCUCACCCAGUCCCCAGCCUCCCUCUCUGUGGCUGCAGAAGACCAAGUCACCAUCAGCUGCAAGGGCAGUUCUAACAUUGUCAAGGCAAUGCAAUGGUUCCAGCAGAAACCAGGACAGUCUCCCAAACUCCUGAUCUAUGUUUCUUCCAUCCUGCAGUACAGGGUCCCUGCCCGAUUCAGUGGCAGUGGCUCUGGGACAGAUUACACCUUCACCAUCAGUGCAGUGGAGGGUAAGGAUGUGGCAGAUUACAACUGUUCUAAGUAUGACAGUGCUCCAUUCCCACAGUGA